rnacentral:rRNA from 1 species
AGCGAACGCUGGCGGCAGGCCUAACACAUGCAAGUCGAACGAACUCUUCGGAGUUAGUGGCGGACGGGUGAGUAACACGUGGGAACGUGCCUUUAGGUUCGGAAUAACUCAGGGAAACUUGUGCUAAUACCGAAUGUGCCCUUCGGGGGAAAGAUUUAUCGCCUUUAGAGCGGCCCGCGUCUGAUUAGCUAGUUGGUGAGGUAAAGGCUCACCAAGGCGACGAUCAGUAGCUGGUCUGAGAGGAUGAUCAGCCACAUUGGGACUGAGACACGGCCCAAACUCCUACGGGAGGCAGCAGUGGGGAAUCGUGCGCAAUGGGCGAAAGCCUGACGCAGCCAUGCCGCGUGAAUGAUGAAGGUCUUAGGAUUGUAAAAUUCUUUCACCGGGGACGAUAACGACGGUACCCGGAGAAGAAGCCCCGGCUAACUUCGUG